UAAUGGUCUUGUGUGCUUUGCAAUAGAUGCUAUUGAAUUGUAGAACUGAGAUCUGCAAAGUGCUUGGGAUGACAGAGGCCCAAUGUGAGCUGUCAAUGGGCAUGUCUGGGGACUUUGAGCAAGCGAUAGAAAUGGGCAGCACCAAUGUCAGAAUUGGAUCAACCAUAUUUGGACCAAGGGAGUAUCCAAAGAGACAGUGAAGUAUUGCUGCUUUUGUUUGUCUUCUCAAGUAUUAUUGUUUUCUAGUGUAUGUAGUUCUUUCUAGUCAAUUAUUGUUGAAGCUUUGGCUUUUAGGUUAUUCAAAAUCAUACAGCAUGGUCCCAUGAUAUUAAAGUAUAAAAUAAAUAAUAAUAUUUUGUAUACGUUGGGGUGUACUUGCAUACAUUUUGACUUUUUGAGGACACCCAUUUUCCCUUUUCCUAUUAACCAGCAUUUUGUACUGUACACUACAAUUUAUGUAAUAUAUUAACACUUCAGUCAAA